GGGCAUGUAGUGUAGCUGGUUAUCGCGCCUCAUUUGCAUAAAAUCGAGCUUUAAAUCGGGCAAAAUACAACUUGAGGAGGUCCCCAGUUCGAGUCUGGGCUUGUCCA